AGAGCGAACGCUGGCGGCAGGCUUAACACAUGCAAGUCGAGCGGGCGUAGCAAGUACGUCAGCGGCAGACGGGUGAGUAACGCGUGGGAACAUACCUUUUGGUUCGGAACAACACAGGGAAACUUGUGCUAAUACCGGAUAAGCCCUUACGGGGAAAGAUUUAUCGCCGAAAGAUUGGCCCGCGUCUGAUUAGCUAGUUGGUGAGGUAACGGCUCACCAAGGCGACGAUCAGUAGCUGGUCUGAGAGGAUGAUCAGCCACAUUGGGACUGAGACACGGCCCAAACUCCUACGGGAGGCAGCAGUGGGGAAUAUUGGACAAUGGGCGCAAGCCUGAUCCAGCCAUGCCGCGUGAGUGAUGAAGGCCCUAGGGUUGUAAAGCUCUUUUGUGCGGGAAGAUAAUGACGGUACCGCAAGAAUAACGCCCCGGCUAACUUCGUGCCAGCAGCCGC
rnacentral:rRNA from 1 species